AAUUUAUAGAGACAUUUUCUUAAUACACUGGUAGAUUGGAACUAGAACACCUCAUUUUUCUCAUAAAGACUUGAAAAAUAUUGACGGGUAAUCGAUAUACAUUUUUUUUUUUGGGAGCCUGAGAAAUAAAAUAUGGGUCCCGGUCAUGGUCAUCAUCCUCCCUGUCCUUCACGUCAUCGUGGGAUUAUAAGAGAUAUAAUAUACGACUUUUUGGGACCUCAUCACCGCGGUCCUCCCCCUCCUCAUUAUAGACCUCCACCUCCCUAUUAUGGACCUCCACCACCGCCGUCUGGUCGAUUUUAUGGACCUCCUCCGCCACCGCCUCCAGCAGGCUGGUUUGGAUCCCCACCGCCUUGCGGACAUGGUGGAUAUUCACACGGUUGCCACCAUUGUCACCACAGGCAUCACAAUUAAUGGUUAUUGUUGAUUAAAUUUUCAAUAUUCAAAAUAUGUAUAAUAUUAAAUAUGUAUAAUUUUGUAAAUUAACAAAUAAAUAUAUUUUUUUCAGAA